GAAGGGUGAAAGGGUUGCAAUAAACUGGUGGCUGCGACUGUUUAAUAAAAACACAGCACUCUGCAAACACGAAAGUGGACGUAUAGGGUGUGACGCCUGCCCGGUGCUGGAAGAUUAAAUGAUGGGGUGCAAGCUCUUGAUUGAAGUCCCAGUAAACGGCGGCCGUAACUAUAACGGUCCUAAGGUAGCGAAAUUCCUUGUCGGGUAAGUUCCGACCUGCACGAAUGGCGUAACGAUGGCCACACUGUCUCCUCCCGAGACUCAGCGAAGUUGAAGUGUUUGUGAUGAUGCAAUCUACCCGCGGCUAGACGGAAAGACCCCAUGAACCUUUACUGUAGCUUUGCAUUGGACUUUGAACCAAUCUGUGUAGGAUAGGUGGGAGGCUUUGAAGCGGGGACGCCAGUUCUCGUGGAGCCAACCUUGAAAUACCACCCUGGUUUGUUUGAGGUUCUAACCUUGGCCCGUGAUCCGGGUCGGGGACAGUGCAUGGUAGGCAGUUUGACUGGGGCGGUCUCCUCCUAAAGUGUAACGGAGGAGUUCGAAGGUACGCUAGGUACGGUCGGACAUCGUGCUAAUAGUGCAAUGGCAUAAGCGUGCUUAACUGCGAGACCGACAAGUCGAGCAGGUACGAAAGUAGGACAUAGUGAUCCGGUGGUUCUGUAUGGAAGGGCCAUCGCUCAACGGAUAAAAGGUACUCUGGGGAUAACAGGCUGAUUCCUCCCAAGAGUUCAUAUCGACGGGGGAGUUUGGCACCUCGAUGUCGGCUCAUCACAUCCUGGGGCUGUAGCCGGUCCCAAGGGUAUGGCUGUUCGCCAUUUAAAGUGGUACGUGAGCUGGGUUUAAAACGUCGUGAGACAGUUUGGUCCCUAUCUGCCGUGGGCGUUGGAAAUUUGAAGGGGGCUGCUCCUAGUACGAGAGGACCGGAGUGGACGAACCUCUGGUGUACCGGUUGUCACGCCAGUGGCAUUGCCGGGUAGCUAAGUUCGGAAGAGAUAACCGCUGAAAGCAUCUAAGCGGGAAACUUGCCUUAAGAUGAGAUUUCCCGGAGCCUUGAGCUCCUUGAAGGGUCGUUCGAGACCAGGACGUUGAUAGGUCAGGUGUGGAAGUGCAGUAAUGCAUUAAGCUAACUGAUACUAAUUGCCCGUACGGCUUGUCCC
rnacentral:rRNA from 1 species